rnacentral:rRNA from 1 species
CAGUCGAACGGAGUACCCCUGAAGGAGUUUUCGGACAACUGAUGGGACUACUUAGUGGCGGACGGGUGAGUAACGCGUGAGUAACCUGCCUUGGAGUGGGGAAUAACAGCUGGAAACAGCUGCUAAUACCGCAUAAUAUGUCUGUGUCGCAUGGCACUGGACAUCAAAGAUUUAUCGCUCUGAGAUGGACUCGCGUCUGAUUAGCUAGUUGGCGGGGUAACGGCCCACCAAGGCGACGAUCAGUAGCCGGACUGAGAGGUUGGCCGGCCACAUUGGGACUGAGACACGGCCCAGACUCCUACGGGAGGCAGCAGUGGGGAAUAUUGGGCAAUGGGCGCAAGCCUGACCCAGCAACGCCGCGUGAAGGAAGAAGGCUUUCGGGUUGUAAACUUCUUUUCUCAGGGACGAAGCAAGUGACGGUACCUGAGGAAUAAGCCACGGCUAACUACGUGCCAGCAGCCGCGGUAAUACGUAGGUGGCAAGCGUUAUCCGGAUUUACUGGGUGUAAAGGGCGUGUAGGCGGGACUGCAAGUCAGAUGUGAAAACCACGGGCUCAACCUGUGGCCUGCAUUUGAAACUGUAGUUCUUGAGUACUGGAGAGGCAGACGGAAUUCCUAGUGUAGCGGUGAAAUGCGUAGAUAUUAGGAGGAACACCAGUGGCGAAGGCGGUCUGCUGGACAGCAACUGACGCUGAGGCGCGAAAGCGUGGGGAGCAAACAGGAUUAGAUACCCUGGUAGUCCACGCUGUAAACGAU